rnacentral:lncRNA from 1 species
UCUUCUCCGAUCUGAUCCUUUAACCCUUUUGACGUUAAGCGCUUAUAUGUUAAUUUUUUUAGCUGAGACAUCUUAGCCCCGAACUGGAACGGGCGAUUGAAAUCAUGCACCCCGAUGAACCGUUGUCGCAGGAAGACAAAGAUUUGAUCAGAGCCCAUCGUGAAGAACUUAGAGAUCAUAUCCCUGCUGAAGUCCAGCGGAUCUGGGAUCAUAUUGAUAGCAACUGCCAUAGGCGGCUGCUAGUCAAAAGGAGCCAUCCAC